rnacentral:rRNA from 1 species
ACGGACAAAGGGCAGCGAACUCGCGAGGGCAAGCAAAUCCCAUAAACCGUGGCUCAGUUCAGAUCGUAGGCUGCAACUCGCCUACGUGAAGAAGGAAUCGCUAGUAAUCGCAGGUCAGCAUACUGCGGUGAAUACGUUCCCGGGCCUUGUACACACCGCCCGUCACACCAUGGAAGUUGGCCACGCCCGAAGUCGUUACUCCAACCCUUGUGGAGGAGGACGCCGAAGGUGGGGCUGAUGACUGGGGUGAAGUCGUAACAAGGUAGCCGUACCGGAAGGUGCGGCUGGAUCACCUCCUAA